UUUUUUUUUUUUUGGGAGACGAAGUCUUGCUCUUGUCACCCAGGCUGGAGUGCAAUGGUGUGAUCUCGGCUCACUGCAACCUCGACCUCCCGGGUUCAAGUGAUCCGUCUGCCUCGGCCUCCCAAAGUGCUGGGAUUACAGGCGUGAGCCACCGCGCCUGGCCAUUCCUUAAUGUUUAACACCCAGUGCAUGUUCAGAUUUUCCCAGUUGUCCGCAGGAUGUCUUUUAUAGCUGCUUUCUUCAAACCAGGAUCUAUUCAGAGACCACACAUUGCAUUUGAUUUUUAUGUCUUUUGAGCCUUUUAAAAUUUAGAGCAGUUCUCUAUAACCCCUUCUUUUGUUUGUUUUAUGAAAUUGGCUUGUUGAACUUCACAAAACACGAGUUGGGGUCAUGCCAACUGUACUGUUAGUGAUUAGUUUACAUAUAGGGAAAAUAAUUUGUGAAUGUUGGUC
rnacentral:lncRNA from 1 species